GAAAUGCGAUAAGUAAUGUGAAUUGCAGAAUUCCGUGAAUCAUCGAAUCUUUGAACGCACAUUGCGCCCUCUGGUAUUCCCGGGGGCAUGCCUGUCCGAGCGUCAUUGCGAACCCCUCAAGCACGGCUUGUGUGAUGGGCCCUCCCGCGUCUUGGUCGUCAAGACGGGCCCGAAAAGCAGUGGCGGCUUCGCGGUUAUCCGAUCAGCCAGAGCGUAUGGGGACUUUCUCUCUGUCACACGCCCGCGGCGCGGACCGACGCCUGUCGACCUUUAUUCAUCUUUUUCUCGGUUGACCUCGGAUCAGGUAGGGAUACCCGCUUAACUUAAGC
rnacentral:misc_RNA from 1 species